UUCUCUAUUUUUCUUAGCAUGUCAGCACAUUGGGUAACAUUAUCUCCAUUUUAAACAAAAGAAAACUAAAGCUCUGAGAAGGAAAAUGUCUUCCUCAAAUUCAAAUACAUUCAGCUGGCUGCAGUUAUAUUUUGCUCACUGUUAUAGCCUCAGGAUCUUUCAGACUCACUGGAAUAUGUUUUGCACCUGUUCUGCUCUGGCGCAGGAUUGUUGAAGGUGGCAGAGGAGAAAUGGACGUGCCCAGAAGAGGAGCAGAGCCCCACACCACUGUGAAGGGCUUGGGCAUCAGCGAUCAUGAUUUCUCUGCAUCUCCUCACGGUGCUGAACGAAUAUAAAACAGCAGCAGUUCCCAGCUCAGAGACCCCACCCUGAAAUAUUCCCCACCAAAGUCAAGCGGGCUGCAAAUAACCUGAGGGAGCAAUGAUUUCCCCUCCCGAAGCCCUCGGGAUCAAUUAGAACUAAUCAAAGAUUUGGCCCAAGAAUUAUAAAUUGGAAUUGAUAUAAAGUACUUCACUUCCAAACACCUCAUUCUUCCCAAAAUGAUGAUUCAAAUAAUUG